AUUACGGAUGCUGCUCCGAGCUCUGUUCCAAAUCAACUGCCACCAAAAGUGCCUGAAGUGACGAUACGGAGGGAGUUUUGCAUCUGUGGCCAAAUAGGUGAAGUGGAAGGCACUGUCAAAAGAGCAGGCCAAAUAUUACCAGGAGGCCGAGGCAGAGCGGCGGCUCCAUGCCCAGCUGUACCCCGAGUGGUCGACAGCGGACAACGAUGUAUGCACACUCUGCUCACAUACAACUACGACACAACUCGUCCACAGACAGUGAAAACAGACUGUAAUGUGUGUGAUGUGCUUGAUUUUAGGGCAAAAAGAGGAAAAGGGUCUUGACGCCCAGAUAAAAAAGACCCAGCUGACACACUCACGGAAGGAGUCAGAGCUUCAAGAUCUGGCAGAUCAGUUGGAGCUGAGCUCUAAGGAACUGAAGAGCCAGGAGAUCAUGCUGCAGACUAAGGUUCCUUUGCCAUACUGUUUGUAUUAAUAAGACUAAAGUAAGCCACAUUAGCUAAUCAUUUUUGCCAUCUAUCAGGAAGCAGAUCUGAAGAGGAGGAGGAAGAAGCUCGGACAAAAGUGGAGAAGUGGAGAGUCAGAUAGAGGUCCAAAGUCUGAUUUUCUCCUCAUGGAUAGAAUAUUUGUACCAGCUUUACCAUCUGUAAAACUGUAAUUUACCAUCCUGUUCAGGCCUUACCUCUGCUGAUCCAGGAGAGAGACCAGCUGAAGGAGGAGCUGGAGAGGAUGAGGGUGGAGAAAGCUCAAGCCCGAGAACUCACCCACAGAGCUAGGGAAGAGAGGAGUGAGGCCAAGGAGGAGGCACAAAGGCUGAGGGAGGAGAGAGACAAAGCCAGGGAAGAGAGCAGAAGAGCCAAGGAGGAAAAGGAAGGACUAGAGAGCAAGGUGGCGCUGCUGCAGGAGAGGUGUGACCGUCUCAGUCGCAGAAUCGGUGAGCUGGAACUAAGUGCAGGAGUGAACAACUCCCUGAGAUCAGAGCAGAACAAGAAGAAGGCAGAGAAGGUGACUGCGCCCUCCAGUGACGAGAGAGACGCAUGGCUGACUGUAGAAGGCCUGGACGACCCGCCUCUCUCCCCUGCACCCGACAGCCACAGCAGCAUGGACGACUUCGGGCGGUACCUCUCUUCACACAGCGCCUCCAUCCACAAGACCAUACUCUUCCUGGAGAGGGAGAGCAGCCGUCUGAGGGAGAGACAGACAGCUCUGCAGGCAGCCCAGACCAGCUCCACUCAGGUCCCCAGUCAUCAAGGAGGAGUGACUGAGGAAAUGAUAACAAACCUGCAGCAGGUAGGGAGGACGGAUGAGAAAGUUCCUGUGGUCGGAACACCCACAGAUGUAGCACUGUAGCAGCAGGUGUCUAACAUCUGUCUCCUCUUGCUCCACAGGCACCGGGUGAAGCCUGCCACCCUGGUCUACCCCACCGCUUCCUCUACCAGGAGACCAGCUUCUGUCUGCCUCUUUGUAUUUAUAGACACAAUUUUCAGUCUUUCUCCUUUGUUUAUUUUCUUUUUGUUUGUUUGUUACCUAAGCC
rnacentral:lncRNA from 1 species